rnacentral:tRNA from 1 species
UCUGCUAAAGGAUAAAAGCUUUCCAUUGAUCUUAGGCAUCAAAAUUCUUGGUGCAACUCCAAGUAACAGAA